rnacentral:tRNA from 1 species
GGUCGGGGUAGCACGUAGGCAUGUGCAGAAGGUCGCUACUUCUCUCGCUGGUUCGAAUCCAGCCCCUGACCU